rnacentral:tmRNA from 1 species
GGGGUUGACUGGAUUUGACAGCAGGCCGGAGUGGUACGUAAGCACGCGGAGCGUUGGCCGGUGGCUCCUAAAUCCCAAUGGUCAGCAAAUUUAUCUGGCAACAACAACUAUGCUCUCGCUGCCUAAACGAAGUACAGUAGUUUACUGGCUUUAUUCCGCUACAAGGUAGUGGAACGAGACAUCGCUCAAAAGCCGUCGUCCCGAGGCUCUUUGAUAUAGCGGUGCAGCAAAAUCGGGAAUAGCCUUGCAAUGCCUCGAUUGCAGAGUGAAAUUUAGAGGAUAAGGUAAUGGUUGGUGGUUCGGGUCUUGCCAUUGCUCGAAAAUUAAGGCCGGAAUAAGCGUGUAGAAAGCGUAUGGUUUCCCUGUUUGGACGCGGGUUCGACUCCCGCCAGCUCCACU